CACCCUCACAGACAUACCCAGGAACAAUACUUUGCAUCCUUCGAUUCAAUCAAGUUGACACUCAAUAUUAUCCAUCAUAGGCACCCUGGGCUAUAAUUGUUGAACCUAUUGUUUCUAUAUUAAAUAGAAUAAGAAAACUAUUACAUUAAAGGUAAGUUAUUAUAUUGAAAGAACUUGGAAUUAGAAUCAGUUUAAUUGCCUACUACCUAAUUUUCUAACUGCAUAACAAUGGAAAAUAUCUCUAAGCAUUUUUUCUUUUUUUUUUUUAAAUCUCCAAUGAAGUAGGGCUAAUGCCAUCUCUCUUACAUUGUUGAGAGGAAUAAUGUAAUUAAUGUACUUAAAAAGUUAACAUGUAGCUUCUGAAGUUCAGCAAUGUAAUCUAUUUGUCUCCCUUUCUAUUACAGUUUUCUGUCUUCUCAGUUGAUACUUCCUAUGAAAGAGUAUCUAUUACUGCCAGGUUUUCCCAUGGUUCUGUCUCAUCUCUAGUGCCAACUUUCCUUUUCUGCCACCUUUGAGAUCAAAGAAGCAUGCUGGUCUGCCAAAAUACCUUUGUGGGCCAGGAAACUACUCAGCUUGGAAAACAGGUGACCCUGAUGCCUGCAUUAAAAACAACAGCAGCAACAACAACAACAACAACAACAACAACAACAUAGGUGAUUCUGAUGAUCACCAGGAUUGAAAACUACUGGACCAUUGCUUUGAGAGAUGGUGCCAUGGCCAGAGACGGAGGUCCACUAUCCAUUGGUUGAUAUCCAUUCUUCUGUGGAGAAUCCUGCUGGCCUUACCUGUAUGACCCUACUGGAUAUGAAUGAGAAAGAACAUAUUGAAAUUGAGAAAAGAAGAUUUACAUGAUGAAAUCAACUCUAAGGAAAGAAGUAGUCAGGAAACCUGUUGAAAGAAAAUGAAAGCAAUGUAUUUCAGCAAUUACUUAAAUCCUGCAAGAAGAUCAUGUUUGAUGGGUAAGUUUUCAGAAUGAAAAUCUCCAUUGACUAAAGUGAAACUCAAUGGCAAUUUUAAAUGUCUUAUCUGCAUGACAUUGAGAGUUAAUGAUAGAAAACUUUCAUAAUUUCUUUUAGUGCAAUGAUUUAACUCAAACUAUGCCCUAAAACAUAUCCUUACCUCCACCAGGAAUCAUUUAUCAUGCCUUGUCUGGUAGAAAUAUAAUUUUUACCUUAAAGGAGAUAUUGGCAAUUCAACUAAUUUCAUCUGCUUUGGAUAAAAUUCAUCUGAUGUUUUAAAAAAAGAAUUUUUUAAAAAAGGAGAUAAAGAAACUUUUUAAGAUGAUGGCUAUGUGCAUUAACUUGAUCAUGCUCCUUGUGCCCUGGUUGUAUUUAACUCUUCUUUGAGCAGAAAGACUAUCUUGUCAAUCUGGUCAUCAGGAUAUGUAUGUGUAAUGUAUAUAUA
rnacentral:lncRNA from 1 species